UCCCAUUGCCCCAUAAAGUAUUCAAUCCCACUACCCCAUAAAGUAGCUUUGUCUGAAAUAAGGUUAAAAUGGAGGUCAUUAUGCUUUAAUAAUUUCAGGUCUCCCAUCCCCGAGCCAGAGAUCGGAGGAGCAGCCACCGUCAUGAUUGCCGGCGACGUUGGAAGAUCCGUCGGCAGGAGCAACGGACGAAGCAGGUAGCUCCUCCCUGACGCUGUUCGAUUCACGAAGCCCCCCAGGUGUGUGCGGUAAGCGAUGGCUAGAUCUAAUCGCCGAUCGAAGAGGAGGGCAUCUGGGCAUAUUUUCUCGCCGUCGACUUCGGUGUUGGCCGGUCAGUCAGCUUCUUGUUGUUGUCUCGGUCGUUCAAGCGAUGCUGGUCCAGUCGUGAGGUAUUAGAUGGGAAUGAACCAACUCUAACAUCUUCAAUCAGCAGAAGGUGUUGCAGAGCUACAGUGGGCUUGUAGGAAGUUUGAGCUUUGGAUUUCUAGAUUUGAGCCCAAUUGAAGAAAGAUAGAUUAGAACUUACAGCUUCGGAAGAGUGGAAGACUAUAGAACUCACUGAUGCAACUGGAAGAACUCUUCAGCAUAUACUGGUCUGCCUGAAAUUUUUUUGAGGAAGCUGACACUUUCGAGUUUGGACAAAGGUGGGAAUGGACAAUUUGAUGAGGCUAAUCCAAAAAAGUUAUUGAUAGCAAUCUUAUUUUCCGGAAAAAGAAAGAGAGAGAAAUGGAUCUUGAUAAUCGUGAGGUGGCCAUAAGAAUAAAGUUGUUGUUUUUUUGGCACAAUUGAAAAAGGAAGCCUUAAAAUCCGGAAGUGGUAUAUUAUUUUAUUUUUUCAGGCCAAUAAUAUAGUGAGAGAAUAGUCAUUCCUUUUGAAGAUAUAAAAAAGUAAGCCUGAAAAAGCGGAUCAUUUUGGCCGCAUUAAUAAUGUCAGACUCGUGUGGAGCAAUAUGGCAAAAUUGUAAUUUGUUAAAAAUGUCAGGGCAAAUGGAAAUUAAUUAAAGCGAAA